rnacentral:rRNA from 1 species
UACGUAGGGUGCAAGCGUUGUCCGGAAUUAUUGGGCGUAAAGAGCUCGUAGGCGGUCUGUCACGUCGGCUGUGAAAACCCGAGGCUCAACCUCGGGCCUGCAGUCGAUACGGGCAAACUAGAGUACUGCAGGGGAGACUGGAAUUCCUGGUGUAGCGGUGAAAUGCGCAGAUAUCGGGAGGAACGACCGGUGGCGAAGGCGGUUCUCUGGGCCUUACCUGACGCUGAGGAGCGAAAGCGUGGGGAGCGAACAGG